rnacentral:lncRNA from 1 species
GUUAUGUUCUGGACAUCCCCUGAAGCGCGCCUUUCUAGGGGCUGUGGCCCUCCAGUGUGCCAGAUCUAGCCUGAGUUCAGAUGAGAAGGCCGAGGCUCACAGACGGGAGGUGAUAUGCCUGAAGUGGCCGAGGGGGGAUGGAAAGCCAGGCCAUAACCCCAGGGAAAUGUGAGAUCUUUGGUGAGGGGCCCCCACCCAACCUGAGGCUGUCCAAACAUGCUAGCUGCAUCUACUGAAGACACCCACUUCCUUGGGCUAAGGUGGGAGGGACAGAUAAGGCAGAACCACCCCUUCCUGAAGAAGCCUGCAGCUUGGCCCAGGCCCAGGGGAGGACGCUGGGGCCACCUGGCAGGGACCUCGAGUGCUUGUCAGUUUAUUCAGGUGAACACUCAAAAACACUGACGGGAAGCUGAAGGCACAGCAAGUGGGGACAGGGGCCUCCCUGCAGGGAGCCAGCCGAUGGUGGGGGCAAGACAAACAGGAGAGUUCACAAAUGAGGUGACCUCAGAUGGGGCCCAGUGUCAGAGCCAGAGCACAUGAGGUGAUGAGAUGGGGGUCUCUCCUGGAGAAGGCAACGUGAGCUGAAACCUCAUGUGCUAGGAGGAGCCGGCCACGGGGAAGGCCAAGGGAAGGGCACUUCUAGGCAGAGGGCAUGGCCUGGGCCAUACUGGGUCUGCAGGGCAUGAAGUGCAUUUUUUUGUUUGUUUGUUUGUUUUUGAGACAAGCUCUUGAUCCGUCACCCAGGCUGGAGUGCAGUGGUGCCAUCCUAACUCACUGCAGCCUUGACUCCUGGGCUCAAGUGAUCUUCCCGCCUUAGCCCAAGUUGCUGGGACCACAGACAGGUUUGGUUUUAUGUAGAAGGCAAAGGGGAGCCAUGGGCAGACUGAGAGCAAGGCUGGAGCAGGAAUGACAGAUGAAGAAAUGCUUGAGAACUGCCCAAGGUCACACU